GGACUACAUCCAGGACUUGCCCUCUGUCAACUGAAGGGCUCCUACCAUCCACAGAGAGCUUUUGAUUCAAAGAAGCAUUUCUGCUGGGUGAACAGAAAUAGAAAGAGCUUUUGCCAGGCACUCCAGUUCUCAGUUACUGAAAAUAUCCCUCCAGAGAGCUGGGCGCUGAAUCUAUCUGUAAGCUUUUGGAUACCAUGUUUUUCCAGUCCUAUGAUAUAAUAGAGAGAAUGAAGUUUGGAGUGGGAAGUGGUUCCCUAAUGGCACAAAAUCCAAUUUGAUAUUGAAAGGGCUACAACACUCUCUAGUCAGAUGGACAUUAAUCAUAGAGAGAUGGGGACUCGCUCUACUGCUCUCUGCCACUGGAUGAGGCCACCAAGUGCCUGGAGCCUGUCAUAUUUUUUCACAAGGUGGGAUAGCUGUUGAGACAAGCUUUUGAACCACUCUAUUCAGAAUCCCCACUGCUGACCAACCACUUCUGGACAAGAUAUUGGAAAGCAUGGUCACCUCCCAACUUCAGGGAUUUCUGGAUGAAACAGGUUAUCCAGGUACAUUUCAAUCUGGUUUCAUGCCUGGUUAUUGAACACAAAUAGCUUAUUUAUUUAUUUGUUAACCAUAUUUAUAUCCUGCCUUUCUCUACCCCAAGGGGGACUCAAGGCAGCUUACAAAUGGCACUUAUACAGUGCCUUAGGCAUAAAACACAAAAAUGAAAUAGAAUUACAAAAAUUAAAAGUGACAUAAAACGUAAUUAAAAUACAUUCCAGUAUGAGACACAUCAUCCAAAGGCAAGGUCUAAAGCUGUUCCAAAAUCCAUUGCAUGAUUCCCAGGUAAUUUGUUUUGCACUGUGCUAUUUGUCAAAGGCCUGCUCCCAAAGCCAAGUUUUUACUUUCUUCCUAAAGGUUAGGAGGGAGGGGGCUGAUCUAAUAUCGUUAAGGAGGGAGUUCCACAGCCGGGGGCCACCACUGAGAAGGCCCUGUCUCUCAUCCCCACCAGUCGUGCUUGCAAAGAAGGUGGGAUUGAGAGCAGGACCUCCCCAGAUGAUCUUAAACUCUGAGGUGGUUCAUAGGAGAGAUACGUUCAGACGGGUAGACUGGGCCGGAACCAUUUAGGCUAAAGACAGCACUUUGAAUUGUGCUUGGUAGCAGACUGGCAGCCAGUGGAGCUGACGCAACAGGGGAGUUGUAUGCUCCCUGUACGCUGCUCUGGUAAGCAACCUGGCGGCCCCCCUUUGGACCAAUUGAAAUUUCUGAACAGUCUUCAAGGGCAACCCCAUGUAGAAGACAUUGCAGUAAUCUGUAUGGGAUGUAACCAGAGCGUGGACCACCGUGGCCAAGUAAGGCUUCUCAAGGUACAGGUGCAGCUGGCACACAAGUUUUAGUUGUGCAAAAGCUCCCUUGGCCACCACUGAAACCUGGAGUUCCAGGCUCAACUAUGAAUCCAGGAUCACUCCCAAGCUGCAAACCUGCGUCUUCAGGGGGAGUGUAACCUCAUCCAACACAGGCUGUAACCCUAUGCCGUGUUCGGCCUUGUGACUGACUAUGAGGAAUCCUGUCUUGUCUGGAUUCAAUUUCAAUUUGUUUACUCUCAUCCAUACUGUCACAGCUGCCAAGCACCGGUUCAGGACCUGAACAGCCUCCUUAGUAGCGGGUGGGAAGGAGUGAUAGAGCUGGACAUCAUCUGCGUACAGAUGACACCAGACUCCAAAACUCUGGAUGAUCUCUCCCAACUGCUUCAUGUAGAUGUUAAACAACAUGGGGGACAAUAUUGAGCCCUGCGGGACCCCACAGAACAACGGAUGCCGGGCCGAGCAAGUGUCUCCCAACAAGUUGCCUUGGUGAGUGACUUACACAUAGAAUUGGACAGGGGGAGUGGGUCCUGGUUGGUUUUACUGGAGCAUGGUAUCCUCCUGGGUUGCCUUGCUGAGAUGGGACUUGGAGACACUGUUUUACAGUGGUUCUGUUCCUUCCUAAAAGGGCGAACUCAGAAGGUGGUGCUGAGGGAGUUCUGUUUGAGUCCCUGGCCAUUGGCCUGUGGAGUCCCUCAGGGUUCUGUUCUGUUCUCCAUGCUGUUUAAGAUUAUGUGAAACCACUGGGAGAGGUCACCCUGAGUUUUGGAGUGUAUCUACUACUGCUUUCUACCCAAAGUCAAGGAAGCUGCCUUGGUCUUAAACCAGUGUCUGUCACCACCAAUUGACUGGAUAUGGACAAACAAAUGGAGCUUCAUCCAGUAAAGACAGAAGUGCUCCUGGUCUGCAGUUUGGGUGUACUCCUGGAUUUGGCACUGAACCUGGAGGCUCAGGUUUCUGUGAUGGCCAUGAAUGCAUUUGCACCUUUAAAUUUGUGUGCCAACUGUGCCUAUUUCUUGAGAUGUCGGAUCUGGAAACAUUUUAAAUUGGAAUGUUUUUCAAUGGUGUGGGCCAAUUUGUGUCUUAAUCAUAAUACAAUAAUAGUAAUAAUAGUAAUAAUAAUAAUAAUAAUAAUAAUAAUAAUAAUAAUAGCACAAUACUCCAGACCUCACGAUAGUGUUAAAAAACAAAGUAUGGAUUAUCGAUGUAGCAAUCCCAGGUGACAGCAGGAUUGAGGAGAAACAACUGGAAAAGCUGGCACGAUAUGAGGAUUUAAAGAUCGAAUUACAAAGACUCUGGCACAAGCCAAUCAAGGUGGUCCCAGUGGUGAGCGGCACACUGGGUGCCGUGCCUAAAGACCUUGGCCUGCACUUAAACACAAUCGGAGCUGACAAAAUUACCACCUGCCAGCUGCAGAAGGCCAUCUUACUGGGAUCUGCACACAUUAUUCGCCGAUACAUCACACAGUCCUAGACGCUUGGGAAGUGUCCUACGUGUGAUCUAAUACAACAGCCAGCAGGCUGUCUGCUGUGGACUUAUAUUAUUGUGUUUCAAAUAAUAAUAAUAAUAGAUUUUGCUGGCUUGGGGGAUUUUGGAAGCUUUUGUCCCAAUAUAACUUUUACAGGCACUUGCUUUGAUCAUUGAAAUAAUCAUUUCUAUCUAUUGUACCAUCCUUUGCAUGUUCCAUAAGAAAUUCUGGUGACCACUGCUAUUUGCCCUGCCUCAUUACUCUAGCACCCACAGCCAUGGUAGCCUGGCUAUAGUAGAAUCCUAUUCUUUCCCAGCUCCAAAUAUGUUUACUCCAUUGGUUGCUGCAGACAUACCUCUGAAAUGCAACACUAAGUCAGGUGCAAGAUUUUUGUGAAAAGAAGCUUUGUUAGCAGAUGAUUUGGUAACUGAGAUAGGCCUGUGUAUUACAUACUUAUACCUGUGAUAGGCAAAACAUUGCAAUCUUGAGUCACUCAAAAUGGAAUCGAGAAAUGGCAUCAGGCUUAAUAUACAUUUGAUAUGCUGUUUGCUGCAAAUAAAGGUUUUCUGAGCAAAACAACCAUGUAGUACAAUUGCCAAACUGUAUGUAAUUAAAUCACAAGUGUACCAAUUUCAAAAACUUCUUUGCAGCAAAAAGAAAUUGCUAAAAUUACCACUGCUUUCUUCAAGAAAAAAAUGCAGCAUACAUAUAUAUUAUUUCUAGCAUUACAAGCUAACUAUUCAAUGUUUUUACAAAACUAUGAAACGUACAGGAACUGUGCACAUUUGUUAGCCUCAGGGCAAAAACAUGCACAUGAUGUACAGUAGAGUCUCGCUUAUCCAACCUUCGAUUAUCCAACGUUCUGUAUUAUCCAACGCAGUCUGCCUUUUAGUAGUCAAUGUUUUUGUAGUCAUUAUUUUCAAUACAUUGUGAUGUUUUGGUGCUAAAUUCGUAAAUACAGUAAUUACUACAUAACGUUACCAUGUAUUGAACUGCUUUUUCUGUCGAUUUGUUGUAAAACAUGAUGUUUGGGUGCUUAAUUUGUAAAAUCAUAAUGUAAUUUGAAGUUUAAUAGGUUUUUCCUUAAUCCUUCCUUACUAUCCAGCAUUUUCGCUUAUCCAACAUUCUGCCAGCCCAUUUAUGUUGGAUAAGUGGGACUCGACUGUACUAUAAUGAUAAAUGUUCAAGCAGGAAUAAAGUUUCUUUACACAAAACAUGUUUUCUGAUUAACAGUAUCAAAUGUAUAGUAGCAAAUAGUAAAUGUAACAUUAAUCACAAUAAGUGUCAGAAUAAAGUUUUUUUCCUACCUUC